rnacentral:ncRNA from 2 species
UGUCCGCAUGAUCGCGCCGGUGCCUCGCAAGGGGCUUAAUAGGGAACAUGGUGCGACCGCCCGCAAGGUGGUCAAAUCCAGGGCUGUCCCUGCAACUGUAAGCGGUGAGCGUGACGCACGGGUUCCGGGCCAGACCGGAACAGCCACUGGGCAUUGUCCGGGAAGGUGUGCGUCAGGCGUCGACCCGUGAGCCAGGAGACCUGCCGGUGUGGGUCGCUCAUU